rnacentral:lncRNA from 1 species
GUUGUAUCAAAGAACUGUCUGCUCAGGAAGAGCAGAAAAAGAUAACAGACUUUUUUGUUUAGCAGAGGAUUUCUGGCUGCAGCAAAGCACAUAAGGUCUAAGAAGAAUUUUGGAUCUGGUUGCAGAGGAGCUUCACACUUGCAAAGGAGGCGUGUACUUAAUUUAGUUCAACAAACCUUGAACUGCUCAGUAAUAGAUUUCGUACAAGACAAUCAACUGAAUCAAGAAAUCUGAUCAACUGAAUCAACUGAAUCAACUGAAGACAAGAAAACACAGUAACAAAACGUGUAACAUUUUGACUGAAGUACACCUCUUAUACAAGUGCUUAUGGAAGACACGUAAAUUAAAUAUCUGAAUCAGCACCAAAAGUUAUGAAUAAUUAUCUGGUAUUUUAAGGUCACUUAAAGAUAGCAGACUUAAACAUUUCACCUGAUUUCUGAUGAGAUUUGGAGGUGGUAAACCACCUUCAAAUCUGGAAAAAUAUUUCAAAAUCACAAGUAGACAUGUUAUCUUCAGAAGAGGGCUUGAUUAGUAUUUAAUAACAAAAUAUGAAACCACAUGAAUUACAAUGAAAAUAAUUAAAAUCAUAAACUUCUGUUCCUAAAUGAAUCAUCAGUAUGCAUGGCAUGAAUCAAGGGUCAUGAGGAAA